GACGAACGCUGGCGGCGUGCUUAACACAUGCAAGUCGAACGGAAAGGCCCUGCUUUUGUGGGGUGCUCGAGUGGCGAACGGGUGAGUAACACGUGAGUAACCUGCCCUUGACUUUGGGAUAACUUCAGGAAACUGGGGCUAAUACCGGAUAGGAGCUCCUGCUGCAUGGUGGGGGUUGGAAAGUUUCGGCGGUUGGGGAUGGACUCGCGGCUUAUCAGCUUGUUGGUGGGGUAGUGGCUUACCAAGGCUUUGACGGGUAGCCGGCCUGAGAGGGUGACCGGCCACAUUGGGACUGAGAUACGGCCCAGACUCCUACGGGAGGCAGCAGUGGGGAAUAUUGCGCAAUGGGCGGAAGCCUGAUGCAGCAACGCCGCGUGCGGGAUGACGGCCUUCGGGUUGUAAACCGCUUUCGCCUGUGACGGAGCGUGAGUGACGGUAAUGGGUAAAGAAGCACCGGCUAACUACGUG
rnacentral:rRNA from 1 species